rnacentral:rRNA from 1 species
AGAAUCAACGCUGGCGGCGUGCCUAACACAUGCAAGUCGAACGAGAAAGUGGAGCAAUCCAUGAGUAAAGUGGCGCACGGGUGAGUAACACGUGACUAACCUACCUUUUAGUGGGGGAUAACCUAGGGAAACCUGGGCUAAUACCGCAUAAUACCUACGGGUCAAAGCAGCAAUGCGCUGGAAGAGGGGGUCGCGGCCGAUUAGCUAGUUGGCGGGGUAAUGGCCCACCAAGGCAGUGAUCGGUAUCCGGCCUGAGAGGGCGCACGGACACACUGGAACUGAAACACGGUCCAGACUCCUACGGGAGGCAGCAGUGGGGAAUUUUGCGCAAUGGGGGAAACCCUGACGCAGCAACGCCGCGUGGAGGAUGAAGACCCUUGGGUCGUAAACUCCUUUCGAUCGGGACGAUAAUGACGGUACCGGAAGAAGAAGCCCGGCUAACUUCGCGCCAGCAGCCGC